CGGACGGGUGAGUAACGCGUGGGUAACCUGCCUUAUACAGGGGGAUAACAGUCAGAAAUGGCUGCUAAUACCGCAUAAGCGCACAGAGCUGCAUGGCUCAGUGCGAAAAACUCCGGUGGUAUAAGAUGGACCCGCGUUGGAUUAGCUAGUUGGUGGGGUAACGGCCUACCAAGCCGACGAUCAGUAGCCGACCUGAGAGGGUGACCGGCCACAUUGGGACUGAGACACGGCCCAA
rnacentral:rRNA from 1 species